rnacentral:rRNA from 1 species
CAUGCAGUCGAGUGGAACGACAACAUUGAAUCCUCGGAGGAUUUGUUGGGCGUCGAGCGGCGGACGGGUGAGUAAUGCCUAGGAAAUUGCCUUGAUGUGGGGGAUAACCAUUGGAAACGAUGGCUAAUACCGCAUAAUGCCUACGGGCCAAAGAGGGGGAUCUUCGGACCUCUCGCGUCAAGAUAUGCCUAGGUGGGAUUAGCUAGUUGGUGAGGUAAUGGCUCACCAAGGCAACGAUCCCUAGCUGGUUUGAGAGGAUGAUCAGCCACACUGGAACUGAGACACGGUCCAGACUCCUACGGGAGGCAGCAGUGGGGAAUAUUGCACAAUGGGCGAAAGCCUGAUGCAGCCAUGCCGCGUGUGUGAAGAAGGCCUUCGGGUUGUAAAGCACUUUCAGUCAGGAGGAAAGGGUGUGAGUUAAUACCUCACAUCUGUGACGUUACUGACAGAAGAAGCACCGGCUAACUCCGUGCCAGCAGCCGCGGUAAUACGGAGGGUGCGAGCGUUAAUCGGAAUUACUGGGCGUAAAGCGUACGCAGGCGGUUUGUUAAGCGAGAUGUGAAAGCCCCGGGCUCAACCUGGGAACUGCAUUUCGAACUGCAUGCAGUCGCAUGCAGUCGCAUGCAGUCGCAUGCAGUCGCAUGCAGUCGAUGCGUA